AACAGCGAUGCUACAAAUUAUACCCAUUGGAGGUCAACCAAAAGACAAAGCUUAUUGGCUGGACAUGGUGGCUCACACCUGUAAUCCUAGCACUUUGGGAGGCCAAGGCAUGCUGCCAAAUUCACCGAGGGCACCUCUGUGGUGCUGCCUGUGGACAAAGUCCAAGCCAGCCACCUCACCCACCUACAGGUGAGUGGGGAGCAGCCAGCGUCUUUAUAACAGCAUGAUUUAUAUUCCUUUGGUUAUAUACCCAGUAAUGAGAUGGCUGGGUCAAAUGGUAUUUCUAGUUCUAGAUCCCUGAGGAAUCGCCACACUGUCUUCCACAAUGGUUGAACUAGUUUACAGUCCUACCAACAGUGUAAAAGUGUUCCUAUUUCUCCACAUCCUCUCCAGCAGCUGUUGUUUCCUGACUUUUUAAUGAUCGCCAUUCUAACUGGUGUGAGAUGUUAUCUCAUGGUGGUUUUGAUUUGCAUUUC
rnacentral:lncRNA from 10 species